AGCGAACGCUGGCGGCAGGCCUAACACAUGCAAGUCGAACGAACUCUUCGGAGUUAGUGGCGGACGGGUGAGUAACACGUGGGAACGUGCCUUUUGGUUCGGAAUAACUCAGGGAAACUUGUGCUAAUACCGAAUGUGCCCUUCGGGGGAAAGAUUUAUCGCCAUUAGAGCGGCCCGCGUCUGAUUAGCUAGUUGGUGAGGUAACGGCUCACCAAGGCGACGAUCAGUAGCUGGUCUGAGAGGAUGACCAGCUACACUGGGACUGAGACACGGCCCAGACUCCUACGGGAGGCAGCAGUGGGGAAUCUUGCGCAAUGGGCGAAAGCCUGACGCGGCCAUGCCGCGUGAAUGAUGAAGGUCUUAGGAUUGUAAAAUUCUUUCACCGGGGACGAUAAUGACGGUACCCGGAGAAGAAGCCCCGGCUAACUUCGUG
rnacentral:rRNA from 1 species